rnacentral:rRNA from 1 species
GACGAACGCUGGCGGCGUGCUUAACACAUGCAAGUCGAACGGAAAGGCCCUGCUUUUGUGGGGUGCUCGAGUGGCGAACGGGUGAGUAACACGUGAGUAACCUGCCCUUGACUUUGGGAUAACUUCAGGAAACUGGGGCUAAUACCGGAUAGGAGCUCCUGCUGCAUGGUGGGGGUUGGAAAGUUUCGGCGGUUGGGGAUGGACUCGCGGCUUAUCAGCUUGUUGGUGGGGUAGUGGCUUACCAAGGCUUUGACGGGUAGCCGGCCUGAGAGGGUGACCGGCCACAUUGGGACUGAGAUACGGCCCAGACGCCUACGGGAGGCAGCAGUGGGGAAUAUUGCACAGUGGGCGGGAGCCUGAUGCAGCAACGCCGCGUGCGGGAUGACGGCCUUCGGGUUGUAAACCGCUUUCGCCUGUGACGAAGCGUGAGUGACGGUAAUGGGUAAAGAAGCACCGGCUAACUACGUG